rnacentral:lncRNA from 1 species
AGAAACCAACUACUAUCAUCAAAUACGAUAUCCACGUUCCUCUUAAUACCAUAACAUAUAGUCGAUCAACGUGGUAGCUAAUAUAAACUUCUUCCUGAUCACUCUAGCUCUAAGGGUAUUGUCUCCAUGGAUUUUGUAAGUAAUAAACACCAUACCAAAUUUAAUGGAGUCUUCCUCAUUCAAUUUAUGAGGGACCCAACACUCAAAACUCCCCCUUUAUUGAGUAGUACAGACAUUGUUCCACGUCACAAUAAGAUUCUUUUACUUAAUAAAAC